rnacentral:rRNA from 1 species
AUACGUAGGGGGCGAGCGUUGUCCGGAAUGAUUGGGCGUAAAGGGCGCGUAGGCGGCGCGGUAAGUCUGGAGUGAAAGUCCUGCUUUCAAGGUGGGAAUUGCUUUGGAUACUGCCGCGCUUGAGUGCAGGAGAGGUUAUCGGAAUUCCCGGUGUAGCGGUGAAAUGCGUAGAGAUCGGGAGGUACACCAGUGGCGAAGGCGGGUAACUGGACUGCAACUGACGCUGAGGCGCGAAAGUGUGGGGAGCAAACAGGAUUAGAUACCCUGGUAGUCCACACUGUAAACGAUGAAUGCUAGGUGUAAGAGGUAUCGACCCCUUUUGUGCCGGAGUCAACACAAUAAGCAUUCCGCCUGGGGAGUACGGCCGCAAGGUUGAAACUCAAAGGAAUUGACGGGG